rnacentral:rRNA from 1 species
GAUGAACGCUGGCGGCGUGCCUAAUACAUGCAAGUCGAGCGAACGGACGAGAAGCUUGCUUCUCUGAUGUUAGCGGCGGACGGGUGAGUAACACGUGGAUAACCUACCUAUAAGACUGGGAUAACUUCGAGAAACCGGAGCUAAUACCGGAUAAUAUUUUGAACCGCAGGGUUCAAAAGUGAAAGACGGUCUUGCUGUCACUUAUAGAUGGAUCUGGGCUGCAUUAGCUAGUUGGUAAGGUAACGGCUUACCAAGGCAACGAUGCAUAACCGACCUGAGAGGGUGAUCGGCCACACUGGAACUGAGACACGGUCCAGGGUCCUGCGGGAGGCAGCAGUAGGGAAUCUUCCGCAAUGGGCGAAAGCCUGACGGAGCAACGCGGCGUGAGUGAUGAAGGUGUUCCGAGCGUAAAACUGUGUUAUUAGGGGAGAACAUAUGUGUAAGUAACUGUGCACAGCUUGACGGUACCUAAUCAGAAAGCCACGGCUAACUACGUG